rnacentral:rRNA from 1 species
GAUGAACGCUGGCGGCGUGCCUAAUACAUGCAAGUCGAGCGAACAGAUGAGGAGCUUGCUCCUCUGACGUUAGCGGCGGACGGGUGAGUAACACGUGGAUAACCUACCUAUAAGACUGGGAUAACUUCGGGAAACCGGAGCUAAUACCGGAUAAUAUAUUGAACCGCAUGGUUCAAUAGUGAAAGACGGUUUUGCUGUCACUUAUAGAUGGAUCCGCGCCGCAUUAGCUAGUUGGUAAGGUAACGGCUUACCAAGGCAACGAUGCGUAGCCGACCUGAGAGGGUGAUCGGCCACACUGGAACUGAGACACGGUCCAGACUCCUACGGGAGGCAGCAGUAGGUAAUCUUCCGCAAUGGGCGAAAGCCUGACGGAGCAACGCCGCGUGAGUGAUGAAGGUCUUCGGAUCGUAAAACUCUGUUAUUAGGGAAGAACAAAUGUGUAAGUAACUAUGCACGUCUUGACGGUACCUAAUCAGAAAGCCACGGCUAACUACGUG